AUGAAUCCCACCUCCGCUCCGGGCCCCAACGGCCUCCCGGUUAAAUUCUUCCAGGCCUUCUGGAACGUGAUUAAACCUGAGGUCAUGGCCAUCUUUGAUGUGUUCUAUGUUGGAUCCAUCGGCCUCGGGCGCCUCAACUAUGGGAUUAUCUCGCUCAUCCCAAAGGUCCCGGGUGCCUCCGACAUCCGCCAGUUUCGUCCAAUCACGGUCAUCAACGUGAUCUUCCGGAUUCUGGCUAAAGGGUACGCCAAUAGGGUGACCCUCCUCGCUGACCACAUUACCCACCCCAACUAGUCUGCCUUCAUUCAGGGGCGGUACAUCCUGGAUGGGGUGCUUGUUCUUCAUGAAGUCCUCCAUGAGGUUCGUUCUAAACAUGUAGCGACCAGACCUCAAAUGGUCUGUGCUGCUGUGCACCAGUGUCAUCCCUGGAUCAGUAAUGCUGACACGCACAGUACAAAUGGAGGAUUUAUAACAGAGUAG
rnacentral:rRNA from 1 species